CAAUAUCAAGAGAAAGAUAUUAAGAAGAAGAGGAUAAUCGCCCUUAAGUCUAUCACUCAACUCGAUGAGGAAUCGAAAGAAACUAAAAAUGAAGAGUAAGAUGAAGAAAUGGCCCUCAUCACUAGAAAGUUUAAAAGAUUCCUAAAGAAAAGAAGAUAAGGGAUGAGGAAGAGACCGCCUACAAAAGGAGAACAUAGCAA
rnacentral:lncRNA from 1 species